rnacentral:rRNA from 1 species
AUGGCCUCUGAGUCCCUGUCGUCGGGCCAGUCUUCGCCAUGCAGCCCGGAGUCGUCUGUCCCGAGCUCGCCUGAGGUGAUUCCUGCAUCUCCGGUGACCGUCACGUCUCCGUCACCUUCGCCUCCGCCGGCUCCUGCUGCUGCUCUACGUCCACAUACGCGCAGUCGGAGUGGCAUUUUUCAGCCUAAGCAACGUCACGAUGGCACAGUUGCUUGGUUAGCGGCGUGCAUGUCUGCUGCUCUCGCAGAUCCAUCCUCUGAGCCACGCACAUAUCAAGCUGCUAUGCGCAUUCCUCAUUGGAGAGAGGCCAUGGAGCAGGAGUAUCAAGCGCUUCUUCGCAAUCAGACAUGGACUCUUGUUCCUCCACAAUCACGGGUAAAUGUCAUUGAUUCCAAAUGGGUUUUCAAAGUGAAGAGGCAUUCUGAUGGGUCCAUUGAGCGCUAUAAGGCUCGUCUGGUUGCUCGUGGUUUUCAAUAG